GAGGAAUAAGCGUCGGCUAGCUCCGCGCCAGCGGGCGCGCUAUGACGGAGAAUGCGAGUGUUAUCAGGAUUUACUGGCCGUCAUUUUACGAUAGGUGGUUCAGUCAGUCGAUUGUUAAAGCUUGGGGCUUAACUCCAAAACAGCAAUGGAAACUGCCAGACUUGAGUAUGGUAGAGGUAAAAGGAAUUUCCAGUGGAGCGGUGAAAUGCGUAGAUAUUGGAAAGAACACCGAGGCGCGAAGCAUUUUACUGGCCGAUGAUUUACACUCAGAGACGAAAGCUAGGGUAGCAAAUGGCAUUAGAUACCGCAGUAGUCCUAGCUGUUAACGAUGGAUACUAGACGUUGCACGUAUCGACCCGUGCAGUGUCAUAGCUAACGCGUUAAGUAUCCCGCCUGGGACGUAUGCACGCAAGUGUGAUACUCAUAGGAAUUGACGGGGGCUCGCACAAGCGGUGGAGCAUGUGGCUUAAUUUGAUGCAACGCGCAGAACCUUACCAGGGUUUGACAUGACAGCCAUUCUUCUGAGAAG
rnacentral:rRNA from 1 species